rnacentral:rRNA from 1 species
AGAGUUUGAUCCUGGCUCAGGACGAACGCUGGCGGCGCGCCUAACACAUGCAAGUCGAACGAGCGAGAGAGAGCUUGCUUUCUCGAGCGAGUGGCGAACGGGUGAGUAACGCGUGAGGAACCUGCCUCAAAGAGGGGGACAACAGUUGGAAACGACUGCUAAUACCGCAUAAGCCCACAGCUCGGCAUCGAGCAGAGGGAAAAGGAGCAAUCCGCUUUGAGAUGGCCUCGCGUCCGAUUAGCUAGUUGGUGAGGUAAUGGCCCACCAAGGCGACGAUCGGUAGCCGGACUGAGAGGUUGAACGGCCACAUUGGGACUGAGACACGGCCCAGACUCCUACGGGAGGCAGCAGUGGGGAAUAUUGCACAAUGGGGGAAACCCUGAUGCAGCGACGCCGCGUGGAGGAAGAAGGUCUUCGGAUUGUAAACUCCUGUUGUUGAGGAAGAUAAUGACGGUACUCAACAAGGAAGUGACGGCUAACUACGUGCCAGCAGCCGCGGUAAAACGUAGGUCACAAGCGUUGUCCGGAAUUACUGGGUGUAAAGGGAGCGCAGGCGGGAAGACAAGUUGGAAGUGAAAUCUAUGGGCUCAACCCAUAAACUGCUUUCAAAGCUGUUUUUCUUGAGUAGUGCAGAGGUAGGCGGAAUUCCCGGUGUAGCGGUGGAAUGCGUAGAUAUCGGGAGGAACACCAGUGGCGAAGGCGGCCUACUGGGCACCAACUGACGCUGAGGCUCGAAAGUGUGGGUAGCAAACAGGAUUAGAUACCCUGGUAGUCCACACCGUAAACGAUGAUUACUAGGUGUUGGAGGAUUGACCCCUUCAGUGCCGCAGUUAACACAAUAAGUAAUCCACCUGGGGAGUACGACCGCAAGGUUGAAACUCAAAGGAAUUGACGGGGGCCCGCACAAGCAGUGGAGUAUGUGGUUUAAUUCGACGCAACGCGGAGAACCUUACCAAGUCUUGACAUCCCUUGACGAUACUGGAAACAGUAUUUCUCUUCGGAGCAAGGAGACAGGUGGUGCAUGGUUGUCGUCAGCUCGUGUCGUGAGAUGUUGGGUUAAGUCCCGCAACGAGCGCAACCCUUACUGUCAGUUACUACGCAAGAGGACUCUGGCAGGACUGCCGUUGACAAAACGGAGGAAGGUGGGGAUGACGUCAAAUCAUCAUGCCCUUUAUGACUUGGGCUACACACGUACUACAAUGGCGUUAAACAAAGAGAAGCAAGACCGCGAGGUGGAGCAAAACUCAGAAACAACGUCCCAGUUCGGACUGCAGGCUGCAACUCGCCUGCACGAAGUCGGAAUUGCUAGUAAUCGUGGAUCAGCAUGCCACGGUGAAUACGUUCNCCGGGCCCUUGUACACACCGCCCGU